UGUCUUAACUAUAUCUAAUUUUGUGUAUUUUUGUGUGUUUAUUAGUUAAAAUAUUAAUUUUACGUAAUUCGAGACUCCAAACAGAUAAACAUAUGUCAAUUUUGGAUUCUAGAGGUUCAAGAAUCUUAAGAUGAGUCAAGACCGACUUAAAAUUAAGGUUGUACAAAAAGUUGACUUUUUCUGUUGACCGAGUACUGAUUGGAUGAUAAAAUGAGCUUACAAUAGAUAUGAGUGCAUUGGAUAGCUAGCAAUUUUGACUAAAUCUGAACCAUUCAUGAUUCAAUGGCCACGAUUGUGCAUGUGGCAAUGGUUGGUGAUGCAAGUUGUAGGAUCCGAACUUUGUAUUCGGGUCAACCCGAUCCAAACGUUAACUCGCUAAAUCUUAACCGUUCUUUGAUCAAAUCGGAUGCUUCACAUGAUGUCACGAGUAAUGUCAACUUUUGAAGUUUGACCAGCCGUUGGAUCUUGAUUUAAUGGUUGUGAGGAGCGCAUGCAUAAAGCUUAUGGUGGACCUCAAAACACUAGAUUAUGAAUGUAUUUUUCUAUAAAUAGAGCCUCAUUUUUAUGUUUUGAGCAUCUCUCUUCUUCUCAAUUUCUCUCAAAUUCCCUUUAAUCUUAUUUUUAGGUGUGUUUUAAUAUUUUGCAUAAUUAUUUUUGUAAAUAAA
rnacentral:lncRNA from 1 species